UACAGAGGGUGCAAGCGUUGUUCGGAAUUAUUGGGCGUAAAGGGCGCGUAGGCGGUUGCGGUAAGUCUCGUAGUGAAAUCUCUGGGCUCAACUCAGAGUCUGCUGCAGAAACUGCCGUGCUUGAGUGUGGGAGAGGUGAGUGGAAUUCCCGGUGUAGCGGUGAAAAUGCGUAGAUAUUGGGGAGGAACACCUGUGGCGAAAAGCGGCUCACUGGACCACAACGUGACGCUG
rnacentral:rRNA from 1 species